rnacentral:rRNA from 1 species
UACAGAGGUCUCAAGCGUUGUUCGGAUUCAUUGGGCGUAAAGGACGCGUAGGCGGCGGGGUAAGUCGGGUGUGAAAUCUCAGAGCUCAACUCUGAAACUGCACUCGAUACUGCUCUGCUUGAGGACUGGAGAGGAGACUGGAAUUCACGGUGUAGCGGUGAAAAUGCGUAGAUAUCGUAAGGAAGACCAGUGGCGAAGGCGGGUCU